UGAUACAGAAGAGGAGCGUUAACUAGGUAGUAAGCCCGAGGAGUCCAAACUCCGUUGACGGUUUAUGAGGGAGAUUAACGCCGAGGUAAAGAGAUGUUUGGUUUCAUCUAUUUAUCGGUCGACUGGGCUGAAUCCCAUCGAUUGUCACCUGUUUUUUGGUGGAGAGCUUCUGGUGGC
rnacentral:ncRNA from 2 species